UCUGAGGCCUAUCCCGACAGGCUUUUCACAAUAGGGCCUUGUCGUUGGAAAUGCCUCAAACAUUAAUUCUGUAGCUUCGCUUUACCCACAUGGUUAUUGCAAUUUUCCAUUGUGGGAUAUUGCUACUGAACAAAU